rnacentral:misc_RNA from 1 species
GAUGAAGAACGCAGCGAAAUGCGAUAAGUAAUGUGAAUUGCAGAAUUCAGUGAAUCAUCGAAUCUUUGAACGCACAUUGCGCCCGCCAGUAUUCUGGCGGGCAUGCCUGUUCGAGCGUCAUUACAACCCUCAGGCCCCCGGGCCUGGCGUUGGGGAUCGGCGGAAGCCCCCUGUGGGCACACGCCGUCCCUCAAAUACAGUGGCGGUCCCGCCGCAGCUUCCAUUGCGUAGUAGCUAACACCUCGCAACUGGAGAGCGGCGCGGCCAUGCCGUAAAACACCCAACUUCUGAAUGUUGACCUCGAAUCAGGUAGGAAUACCCGCUGAACUUAAGCAUAUCAAUAAGCGGAGA